GUGCAAUACACCUGCUUUAUGCACUUGAGCAGGGAAGAAAUCCACAAGGACUCACCAGUCUCCUGGUCUGCAGAGAAGACAGAAUCAACAUGAGCACAGCAGGAAAAGUAAUCAAAUGCAAAGCAGCUGUGCUAUGGGAGUUAAAGAAACCCUUUUCCAUUGAGGAGGUGGAGGUUGCACCUCCUAAGGCCCAUGAAGUUCGUAUUAAGAUGGUGGCUGUAGGAAUCUGUGGCACAGAUGACCACGUGGUUAGUGGUACCAUGGUGACCCCACUUCCUGUGAUUUUAGGCCAUGAGGCAGCCGGCAUCGUGGAGAGUGUUGGAGAAGGGGUGACUACAGUCAAACCAGGUGAUAAAGUCAUCCCACUCGCUCUUCCUCAGUGUGGAAAAUGCAGAAUUUGUAAAAACCCGGAGAGCAACUACUGCUUGAAAAACAAGUAGGUUUCUGAUGCUCUCCCUGCGCAGACAUUGAGUUUGCACCUUCUCACAGUACACAGUGGUGGAUGAAAAUGCAGUAGCCAAAAUUGAUGCAGCCUCGCCCCUAGAGAAAGUCUGUCUCAUUGGCUGUGGAUUUUCAACUGGUUAUGGGUCUGCAGUCAAUGUUGCCAAGGUCACCCCAGGCUCUACCUGUGCUGUGUUUGGCCUGGGAGGGGUCGGCCUAUCUGCUAUUAUGGGCUGUAAAGCAGCUGGGGCAGCCAGAAUCAUUGCGGUGGACAUCAACAAGGACAAAUUUGCAAAGGCCAAAGAGUUGGGUGCCACUGAAUGCAUCAACCCUCAAGACUACAAGAAACCCAUCCAGGAGGUGCUAAAGGAAAUGACUGAUGGAGGUGUGGAUUUUUCGUUUGAAGUCAUCGGUCGGCUUGACACCAUGGUAUGUACCAUGACAUGCCCUGAGAUUUCUGCCUCUACGACUUGGAGGAUGCAUUUAGGCUGCAGAAUAUAUGUUUUCUGUAUAAAGGAUAUUUUUAAUGAUGAAUGGAAAUUUCCCAUCAUCUGUUUGUUACCUGGCUUGUUUAAUUUAUUGUUAUGAGGAAUCUUUUAUUCUAUCAACUAUGCAAACGUGUCUCAAGUCAUAUUUCCUCUAGAGGAAAAGCAAAGGGCUUGUUUUUCUUAACUGAGUGAUUAUAGAUUACUUUGUUAAUUUUUAUUUAAAAACUGUAAGUUAAAGUAAACAUAAAUAAUACAAGUUCUGUUCUCAAAUUGGAAUGUUUUAUUUUUCUGCCACAUUCUUAACAAAAAUGAUUUAAUACUUUUGCAUAUGUUCUUAAUAAAUUCCAAUUUUUUUAAACAUAUUAGUAUUUGGCCAAAAGAAGUGAGCAAUUUUAGGCCAACUAUUGUUUUAUUAACAAAAAUAUGCCCUAAGGAAAGUGAAGCUCAAAUGCAUCACUAUAUUUUAUCACAG
rnacentral:sRNA from 1 species